rnacentral:rRNA from 1 species
CCUACGGGUGGCAGCAGUGGGGAAUAUUGGGCAAUGGACGCAAGUCUGAUCCAGCAACGCCGCGUGAAGGAAGAAGGCUUUCGGGUUGUAAACUUCUUUUAAGGGGGAAGAGGAGAAGACGGUACCCCUUGAAUAAGCCACGGCUAACUACGUGCCAGCAGCCGCGGUAAUACGUAGGUGGCAAGCGUUGUCCGGAUUUACUGGGUGGAAAGGGCGUGCAGCCGGGCUGACAAGUCAGAUGUGAAAUCCGCGGGCUUAACCCGCGAACUGCAUUUGAAACUAUUGGUCGUGAGUGCCGGAGAGGUAAUUGGAAUUCCUUGUGUAGCGGUGAAAUGCGUAGAUAUAAGGAAGAACACCAGUGGCGAAGGUGGAUUGCUGGACGGUAACUGACGGUGAGGCGCGAAAGCGUGGGGAGCAAACAGGAUUAGAUACCCGAGUAGUC